UCGACUGGGAUAACUCCGGGAAACCGGGGCUAAUACCGGAUAACAUCUAGCACCUCCUGGUGCCGGAUUAAAAGAGGGCUUCUUGCUCUCACGAUGAGAUGGGCCCGCGGCGCAUUAGCUAGUUGGAGAGGUAACGGCUCCCCAAGGCGACGAUGCGUAGCCGACCUGAGAGGGUGAUCGGCCACACUGGGACUGAGACACGGCCCAGACUCCUACGGGAGGCAGCAGUAGGGAAUCUUCCGCAAUGGACGAAAGUCUGACGGAGCAACGCCGCGUGAGUGAUGAAGGGUUUCGGCUCGUAAAGCUCUGUUAUGAGGGAAGAACACGUACCGUUCGAAUAGGGCGGUACCUUGACGGUACCUCAUCAGAAAGCCACGGCUAACUACGUGCCAGCAGCCGCGGUAAUACGUAGGUGGCAAGCGUUGUCCGGAAUUAUUGGGCGUAAAGCGCGCGCAGGCGGCCUUUUAAGUCUGAUGUGAAAUCUUGCGGCUCAACCGCAAGCGGCCAUUGGAAACUGGGAGGCUUGAGUACAGAAGAGGAGAGUGGAAUUCCACGUGUAGCGGUGAAAUGCGUAGAUAUGUGGAGGAACACCAGUGGCGAAGGCGACUCUCUGGUCUGUAACUGACGCUGAGGCGCGAAAGCGUGGGGAGCAAACAGGAUUAGAUACCCUGGUAGUCCACGCCGUAAACGAUGAGUGCUAGGUGUUAGGGGUUUCGAUGCCCGUAGUGCCGAAGUUAACACAUUAAGCACUCCGCCUGGGGAGUACGGCCGCAAGGCUGAAACUCAAAGGAAUUGACGGGGGCCCGCACAAGCAGUGGAGCAUGUGGUUUAAUUCGAAGCAACGCGAAGAACCUUACCAGGUCUUGACAUCCUUUGACCACUCUGGAGACAGAGCUUCCCCUUCGGGGGCAAAGUGACAGGUGGUGCAUGGUUGUCGUCAGCUCGUGUCGUGAGAUGUUGGGUUAAGUCCCGCAACGAGCGCAACCCUUGACCUUAGUUGCCAGCAUUUAGUUGGGCACUCUAAGGUGACUGCCGGUGACAAACCGGAGGAAGGUGGGGAUGACGUCAAAUCAUCAUGCCCCUUAUGACCUGGGCUACACACGUGCUACAAUGGAUGGUACAAAGGGUUGCGAAGCCGCGAGGUGAAGCCAAUCCCAUAAAGCCAUUCUCAGUUCGGAUUGUAGGCUGCAACUCGCCUGCAUGAAGCUGGAAUUUCUAGUAAUCGCGGAU
rnacentral:rRNA from 2 species